UAUGGCCACAUCACAUUGAAACACCUGUUCCUAUAUGUUCACUGAAGUUAAGCAACAUCCAGCCUAAUCAGUACCUAGAUGGGUGACUGCUAGGGAAUACCAGAUACUGU